GUGCUCGCUUCGGCAGCACAUAUACUAAAAUUGGAACGAGAAGAUUAGCAUGGCCCCCGUGCAAGGAUGACACGCAAAUUCGUGAAGUGUUCCAUAUUUUU
rnacentral:snRNA from 1 species